UCCCUCGUAUUCACAGUAUAAAAAUUUUUCAUUUACAUCAACUAGUGAAGUGGUGGGGCGCGUCAUUUCAAAUUAGACAAGCUCUACGGCCUGUUUC